rnacentral:rRNA from 1 species
UGGGGAAUAUUGGACAAUGGGCGAAAGCCUGAUCCAGCCAUGCCGCGUGUGUGAAGAAGGUCUUCGGAUUGUAAAGCACUUUAAGUUGGGAGGAAGGGCAGUAAGCGAAUACCUUGCUGUUUUGACGUUACCGACAGAAUAAGCACCGGCUAACUCUGUGCCAGCAGCCGCGGUAAUACAGAGGGUGCAAGCGUUAAUCGGAAUUACUGGGCGUAAAGCGCGCGUAGGUGGUUCGUUAAGUUGAAUGUGAAAGCCCCGGGCUCAACCUGGGAACUGCAUCCAAAACUGGCGAGCUAGAGUAGGGCAGAGGGUGGUGAAAUUUCCUGUGUAGCGGUGAAAUGCGUAGAUAUAGGAAGGAAAACCAGUGGCGAAGGCGAACACCUGGGCUCAUACUGACACUGAGGUGCGAAAGCGUGGGGAGCAAACAGG